rnacentral:rRNA from 1 species
GACAGAGGGGGCAAGCGUUGUCCGGAUUUACUGGGCGUAAAGAGCGCGCAGGCGGUCGUUCAAGUCGCGUGUGAAAGCCCCCGGCUCAACUGGGGAGGGUCACGCGAUACUGAUCGACUCGAAGGCAGGAGAGGGUAGUGGAAUUCCCGGUGUAGUGGUGAAAUGCGUAGAUAUCGGGAGGAACACCAGUGGCGAAGGCGACUACCUGGCCUGUUCCUGACGCUGAGGCGCGAAAGCUAGGGGAGCAAACGGG